rnacentral:rRNA from 1 species
AUGAGGCCUUUCCACGGCGACGUCGCCGGCCUGACGUCGCUCCGUCUCCGUCCGCUCCUCUGCUUCCUCAGGCGCUGGGAUCUCUCCGACACCGCACACGCGCUGGAGCAGGAGACGGGCGUGUCCUUCAUGCCGGAGUACCUGCGGCUGCUGCUGGCCCAGGACAAGUGGGCGGAAGCCGAGGCGUACGUGGCCAGCCGGCUGGCCAGCCUCGUCCUCACGCGCAUCCGCAUCUUCGGCGUCAUGUCCAAGUUCGCCGUCGGGGAGGCCAGCACCGUCCCCGCCGCUUCCUUCCGACGCGCCGAGGCCGGCCUCCUCGCCCACCCCGAGCUGCACGCUGUCCGCCGCGUCCUCGACUCCAUGCGCUCCGACCCAGACAAGGCCUCAAGGCUGUAUGCGCACAUCCAUCCCGGGGCAGUGGAGGCCAUCAUGAAGUGGGUCGCCAAGUGCCCGGAGCUCAAAUCCAAGAAUCGAGCACCACCUCGUUCUGGGAAUGCAGAGGCAGGGGUCUGA